UCAAUGACUCAUGACAAGUCAUAACUUCCGCCGUCAGAAAGGGAAGCUCUGGCACGUCCAGGAGCCGAGCAACAGCCAAGCCCAGGAACUGGACACGCAUGCCCCGGAAACGGGGAGAAAGUUCCGCAGGGCUGCUGGUUCCUGGAGCUGGCGCCCAGGCUUCCUUCCGAGCGCUCGGGUUCAAGAGGAGAAGAGCCACGAGCUGGAAGGAGCCGUGUGGAUUUGGGAGGUCCCGGACCCUGCAGAGGGGGACCUGGGGGGCAGGGCUGACAGAGGAGACCGCACACCCCUGUGCUGCGGAAAGUGGGUGGUUCUACGGGGCCCCCGGUGGCCUCACUCACUGUCCUCCGUCGCUCUGAAUGUUUCCCAGCCCCUCUGAGCGCACACAGAAGGGAACGUGCGGGUCUCAAAAUCUCCCCGACUGGCUGCCCUGUCUGCCUGCUCCCCCCGGAUCAGGUGGGUGCUAAGGUCAAGGGCAGGGUCUGAGACCCCAGUGUGGUUGUCCUGGACCAGAAACAGCUGUAGAACCCAGACCCAAUACAGGUGAGCAGGAGGAGAGCCACCAGGGCUUGACCCAGAGGAGGCCCCCCUCCCAGAAGGCAGUUACAGAAACAGCCUGGGUAUCGACAGAAUCGUAUUAACGCACUUCACCUUGACCCUGCCUACUGAUAAUGUGUUUCUUAAGAUUAUCCUUAAUAAUCAUACCUCAGGGUUGGGGGUCGGAGGUGCCCACGGGGAAUCCUGGAGGACUGCUUCCCACCCUGAGGCCCUCGAGGGCUUCUGGCUAACAUGGAGCAUCAGCCUCACCCUCUCCCUUCCGGAACCUUCGCGGAGCGGGGCGAUGCCCCAGGAGCGGCACGGAGAACCCGGGCUCGGAGCCCCAUCUGGCCUUUUACAGGAGAGGCGCGCCGACCCCGGGCUUGCGGCAGACGCGGCUUCCCAGAGGAUGGAGAUGGGAGCUCUCCCAUCCAGCUGCGAGCCGCAGAUGCAGGCCCCAGGCUUCCUGAACAUUCUGUGGGAACAAGAGGCUUGCACGGGCAGAGGCCGCCCUCCUGUCCCAGGGUGGAGGACGCCCAGCAGCGAGGCAGGACUCCACGCGGAAGAAACGUUGAGAGGCUCUCAAAGUUGGCGCGAAGCGAGGCCCAAGCCGCCACUUGGAGUUUCUGCCUCCAGCCUCUGGGCUCCGCUGGGUGUUCGGCCUCCCCCGAGAUGCGCCUCGAAACCGCCUUCUGGAGAGUGGCCUUGAAAUCGCCUUCCAGAGAGCGGCUGGAACAUUAGGAACCACACGACAGGUGUCGAUGGAGGCAGCUGUCUGGGUGGGGAUCCUCAGCUAUGGAGCUCGGGCCCCCAAACUGUCCUCUGGCGAUUUCACUUCACGAUGAUGUGGGCUGGGGGGGUUACCCUGCGGCCCCAACCGCUGCCUGUGCCGCCUCAGCCACAGCAACACCUACCUCACAGGCACCUGCAGGGUGAGUACCGGCCAAAGACAGAGGCCAAAGCCCCUGCUUUCCCCCCCGCACCCCUGCGCACCGUGCAGUCUUCUCCCACGUCGCCUCGCCCUGCUCUGCAAAGGUGGCCAGCACGUGUGCAGGUCCUGGGGCCGUGUCACCGUCUGAAGAAGAGGAGAACCUUGCCUGGUUCUGAGAACCGGCUCUGAACCCCACCGCUGUCCUGGGGCCUGCGUCCAGGAAAAGUGUGCACAUCUCCCUCCUUCCUCUCCGUGGUCCUGGUUUCCCUGCAGCUGGAACAAGCCACUGAGUUCACAGACCCUGGAGGCAUCUGGACCGGAAGGCGCUCGGAUGAGCCCGGAGACCACGGCAAGAGCGCCUGCCGGCCUGGACGCGAUUGCCGCAGCCCGGCAGCCCCGACGGGCGUGGAUGGCCCCCGGAUGCUCGCUGGCUGUGCGUGCACCUGUCAGUUUAAUGUGACGAGGUCACCGUCUGUGUGCGGGGUGCACUCGGGAAGAUGACCCCCAUUAGCUCAGGGGGGACAGUGCAGCACAGAGCGCAUGCGGCUCCCUGGGCCGUGGUGGGGGCGCAGGAUGGCGUUCCGGGUGGGCGGGCUCCUGGGCGAAGACGCCACGUUUCGCUAAGGACACCGCUCACCUGGACUCCCGGCCGGCCUCAGCUCGCCCCGCCAUUCCCUCCCCAGGCCAGCUUCUGGAACAAGCCCCUGGGAAGGCGGAGCAAGACGAGACCCCCGUUCUGGCUGACCCUUUGCCUGGACUCUCGUCUCGGCUGGGCCAUGACCCCUCUUCCCGGGCGGCUGCCACAGCGUCCCUUUUGCCCGCAGAAACAGACGGCCGUCCAGGGAGGUACAAAAGGUCCCUUCUCUGACCUCCGGUGUGGGGUGUUGUGCUUGGCCUCGCGGGCUUCAUGACGGCACAUUCGUGUGCGUAACGGACACAGUUGACCCUUCAGAAACAUGCGGUUUGGGAGCGCCGGCCCCCCGAAAAGCUGAGUAUAACUUUCGACCCCUCCCCAAACUUAACUAACAGCCUGCUGUUGACGGAAGCCCUACCGGUCACCGAAACAGUCGGUUUACACAGAGCUUGCGGGGUACGUGUAUCAUGUCGUAUGAUCUUACGAUAAGGUCCGCUAGGGGAAAGAAAACGAUACGAAGAGAAUCACAGGGAAGAGGAAAUACCGUAACGCACUGCCUUGAAUGAGGAAAAGACCCGCGUAUAAGUGGGCCCGCCAAGCCCCUGUGGUUCAAGCAUCCGCCGUAGAACCCUGUCAGUGGGGGCUGCUCGGGGGUUGCAGGUUAAAGCAGAAGGUUUGGGGGGCCCGUCCCCCACUGCACACUUGAGACGUUUUGUUUCCGAAGGCAAACGUAUUCGUGGACCUUCAUGGGUUUCCCUCCCUUCCCUGGAAACUCUGUGCUUCUGUUCCCUGGGACGGUGCAUGUGGCCGUGGACAGGGCCUCCCCCGGGCUCUCCUUCGAGGAGGGACGUCCUCAGAUCGGACCAGCGUCACCAGCACGGGGGCGGCCUCCUGGCGGGAGAUUCUUUUUUUGUCUUGUUUUUCCCUAAUGCAUAAAGGUUUAUUUGAAUAAAACUGUAAAACUCACAUGUAGCCAAGAGGCCACAUCUCAAAACAGAACCGGAGGAGGAGUGCAGGAGGCCCCAGACCAGCACCUGUGCUCAGAGCCCCCCCGGGAGCCAGAGACUCGGGACACAGCCGCCCGCCCGCAGGAGGCUUUCCGCGGCCAGCGAGGGGAUUUGGCCGUUGCCCUCACCAAGCCGCUCCCAGAGCUGGGCCCCGAUCCAGUUUCCAGGGCCCGCUUUUGGGCCCACGGGUCCCGUUCGCCUUUCGGCGUCGGCCGAUAAGAGUGAGCGGCAGACCCCGUCACGGUCCGUCCCUGAGCUCCGCGCUGUCACAGUCCUGCCUCCCCGAGCACCUCUGCUCAGCAGCUCACGCCUGAAAGACACCACAAUCUUUUUACCCAAUUUUCCAGCUGAGUUGACUGGGGCCGGCAAAGGUCAAGGAGCUUGCCCAGGGUCACUGAGUAAAACAGCCAAGCCUCUGGCCUCAGGACAAGGACGCGGGACUCCGGUUCCCCUUCCUGACCGCUUAACCAGAGGCUCCUUCAUAAAUAAUGGCCAUAACGGGGCUUCACUCUGUCUUUGGCGGGCAGGCGGUGCAGGCAGCCACCGGGGCUGUGGUCCCCGUGCACCGCCGAGCCCUCGCGGGGCUGCAGGCCGCCCGGCCCCGUGCACUCCCGGGACGGAGUUGGUCGCGGGCGUCCCAAGACCUGGAGAGACAGUCCGACGGUGGGUCGGUCGGUGGGCACAUGCGACCGCGGCUGAUUACUCAUCACUGACAGUUAUUAGCCUAUUAUGAAACGUAUGAAUUGUGUCUUUCAUACCACAUCCCUGUCCUUAAAGUGCCUUAUUAACUGACGUUAACCAAUCCAAUUAGCAAAAGACACUGUAUUCGCGUAAUUAGUAAUUUGAGGCUUUGUCCCGUCUUGGUCUUAAAGAGAAAGGCACUGGCCUAUGAUUGGAGCAGCACCACACAAUUAAGUGAAGUGCUCACCGAUCAGCGGGGGACACACUCCAUCCCUGGGGUCCCGCCCGGGACCUGGCUCUGCGCGGGCGCCGGGGUUCGCGUGUGUGGAGUUCAAGUGCACCCGCACUGCUCCUCUCUGCUGCUGGCCUGGCCUGCUACACCAGGACGGGAGAUGUUUAUUUUUCUUAUAAACUGAGAGGCCAAGCAGUGAGGAACCUGGUUAUUAAACACUCCGAGCCCAAUUCUGCAGAAAAUCAAAAAAAUCCAACUUUGAGGAUUGAUUGCAAGUUUUUUUUUCUAAUCGGACGCCAAAAGGAACAUUGUGGGGAAAGAUGUCUCAGGGCGGUCCUCCUCCAGGCAGCUUUUCUGUUUACGUCUCCGAGCGAGCAGUUAGGUUUCGGAGACGCGAAGACGGCCUCCACGGGGCCAGAUGUUCUAGAUAAGACCUUCGGGCUGCGGGCCGCGUGUGUGCACAGCGCAUCCACCCCCAGAGCCGGCUGCGGCCUCGUCGGAAUGAUCGGGCUGCGGGACGUCCGCCGGGAGAGCCCGUGUUGGAAGUGACCGCAGCACGACGUGACUGGGGCCCUUCUGCUUUGCCCGCGGGACAGUCCUACCGGCCUAUAAAGCCGCGGACUAUGCUCUCUUUAUUUGUAUGUAUUUUGUUCAUCAGGAGGCUUAGCGCACUCGGAACAGGGGUUCCCCCGACGACCCCCUGCCAGCCGUCCCUGGUUCUGGACGGGAAGGAAGGCCGUCUGGCCCUGGUUCCUAGCACCUGAGCUGCCUGAAGGAGGCAGCCGCCGUUUCACGACACGUCCUUGAACCUGCCCAUCCGCCUGGCACUGUCCCCACUCCGCAGGCCAAGCCUUGUCCCGGAAGGGGCCACCGCAGGGAUCCAGGCUGGUUACGGCUAUCACCCCUGCGGCACGGACGCGGGAGAAUCACCCCCACCAAAUGCGCUCGGCUCCUCCAGAGGGAAAAAGGUGGCCCUUGAGGGUCGAUGGCCGGGUCUGCGCCCUGCCCACACGUCUGGCUGUCCCCGGGGCUUGUCUGUGCUCUGGGAGCCUGUCCUUGGCGAUCAGACACUUCGGGGGGUCGCGCCUGGGUUUCCCACUUUGAGUCCAGAUGCCGACUUCGUUCCGGCGCCCAUUUUGGACGCAGCCUUUUUUUUGCCUCCUUCGAGUAGGAUUCUCAUUGUUUUGUUUUGUUUUUUUUUCCGUUCCGUGUCAAAGGAAAGUUCAGAUCUGAACGCCUGAAAGCAUCGUCUUUCCUGAUUCUCCCCGUGCGUGCGUGUGCCCGUCGGCCGGGGCAGACGGGAGGAGCCCGCGCGGUGCUCACGGGAGGCGGGACGGGCGAGGAGACCCUGGCUGCAAACAUUUCAGAAACCUCUUCAAAAUAUCUGGGUUUGUCAAAAUCCCAAACCACCGUUUGCCAGGCACUUUUCCCGCUAGUGUUUGAGCCCGCGGGUAUUUUAAAGGAAAUGAAAUCCGUGUGUUUCUGAUUUAUUUAUACUUAACUCAUCAAAAUGCUGUUUUAAAGAGCUAUUUUGUGUCCAAAAUGCCCUUUAUGCCUUUUUCCCUUCCAAACUAAAAGCCAUAUUUUGCCAAGUGUAUGUGACCUUAAACGCUAACAUUUUUCAAGGCUCUUUGGAAAAUCAGGUUCACCUAGCCCACGCAGACCUGCACGGGACCGAACGGUGUCCCCCAACACAACUCCCCCCGCAGGAACUAACGGUGUCCCCAGGACACACGACUCCCCCCCAGGAACUAACGUUCCCUCCCACAUGCUACUCCCGCCCCGGAACUAACAAUGUCCCCACGACACACGACUCCCCCCCCAGGAACUAAUGGUGUCCCCCCGACACACAACUCCCCCCCCAGCAACUAACAGUGUCCCUCCCACACACAACUCCCCCCCAGAACUAACGAUGUCCCCACGACACACGACUCCCCCCCCCAAGAACUAACGGUGUCCCCCCACAGACAACUCCCCCCCCCAGCAACUAACGGUGUCCCCCCGACCCACGACUCCCCCCCCAGGAACUAAUGGUGUCCCCACGACACACGACUCCCCCCACCCAGGAACUAACAGUGUCCCCCCCCCACACAACUCCCCCCCCAGGAACUAACAAUGUCCCCACGACACACGACGUCCCCCCCCGGAACUAACAGUGUCCCCCUGACACAUGACUCCCCCCCAGGAACUAACGGUGUCUCCCCGACACACGACCUCCCCCCCCAGCAACUAACGGUGUCCCCCCAACACACGACUCCCCCUCACCCAGGGGAAACCCAGUGACCAGCUGCGGAAGUGAUUACCCUUUGGCCUUACCGGCUUUUUGCUCUGACCCAGAGCACCCCACCCCGAGCCCAGAGCCCCUGAGAUGCUGUGCCUGAUGGCCUGAUGGCAAGGAGCAAACUCUCCAGAGACGAGAAUCCCCAGGUCGUGAUUUUAUGGUCUCUCUCCCAGCAUUCUUGCUGGGCCAGCUCAGGGUCAUCUCGAGGUGGGCCCCCGCUUGCCCCAGUGGUAAGGGGCUCCCUCCCCAGGAGGGCAGCCAAGCUCGCUCUCUGGUCCUGUGGAGCCCAGCUACCCGCAGGCUUAACUCGUCGGCCUCCCGGUCCCCGGGGGCCUGGCUGAUGCAGGCGCUAGGUGAGCCAAGGCAGA